GGCAGGACUGCCUGCCAAGGCUCCUCCCAGGACCCAGCAGUGGCUACUGCCCCUACCCCAGGAGGGCGUGUGGGGCCCAGAAGCCAGGCCCGCACUGAGCUGGACCCGAGGCAGGGCAAGUGCUGCCGGGAGGGCCUCACUGAGUGGCCCACGGUGAGCCCCUCACCCCACCCAGCAGACUCCCGGGCUGCCCUGCAGCCAGCCUGUGUGGCCUGUGGCCGGGAGGGUGUACCCAGCCUGUCUCACGCCUGUGCCUCCUCUUGCACUGGCAGCAUCUUCAGAGUGCCCAGCACCAGGCAUUCUCCCCCAGAGCCCAUCCAUGUGCGGACAUCAGCUGGCUCAUGGCCCAGCUUGGCCCUGGUGGGUGCCACAUGCUGGCAGGCCUGUGUCCACUCGCUGUCUGCCCUCCCCAGGCCGGAAGGACCCUUGAGUUCCCAGUGGCAGCCACAGGCUGGACGGCUCUCCCGCUUCACUUCCGGAGCGCUCCACUUCCGGAGCGCUCAUCCUGUUUGUUCUAGGGGUGCUCACGGGCACGCAGAGGGUGCUGAGCAAGGCCCUUCUGCCCGGAGAAGAGCUCAAGAGGACUGCUGGGACCCCGGGCCAGCACCGCUGCCCCGCAGGCCACCCUGGCCUGCCUGGGGCCGGGACUCUGCCACAGCGCCAGGGGCCCAGCCUCCUCCCACUGGGCCGGCCAGCUCCUGGGCCUCUCAUCGUGCCCGGCUCUGCCCCAAGCCUCCAGGCGCCCAGCAGACCCCAGGUGCCACAGAGCAGGAUGACUCAGAGCACCCCUGGAGUAGCCGGCCCUGCAGCAAGCUGCCCCAGCGCAGGGGUCGGUGGAUGCAUGUGCCGCACCCCAGGAACGCCUGUGCGCGGGAGUGUGCGGCCACAGGCCACACAGGCUGGCUGCAGGGCAGCCCGGGAGUCUGCUGGGUGGGGGUAGCCACAGCCUACCGGCUCUGGCUCUGCCGACCUCUCUGAGGGCCCAGGCCCGGCCCUGGGGGCGACCCCUGCCCCCGCGAAGCUUCCAGCUCCCCAUGCACAGCCCCUGGCCCGCCUGCUGUCCCCGUGGCCACAGGGAGCCGGGCCGCCGCGCCCCAGCCCUGCCCACUGCGGGGGGCCCAUGACUGGGCGCCCCGGCUUCCUGUGGGUCCUGUCUCCUGGCCCCCAGCCAGCGACGUGGGGCAGGCCUCGGACACCAGGAGGGCUGCCGAGCGGGCUGGCCGUCCGCACCAGGCAUCUGCGGGGUCUGCUCGGCCGGAGCAGCUGCCCGACGGGGCCCCUCGGAGCCCGCACAGGAGGCUGCGGAGGCCGUGGGUG
rnacentral:lncRNA from 1 species